rnacentral:rRNA from 1 species
AGGGUGUAAACGCUGCAGACUUGGUGUUGGGAACCCUUCGGGGGUGCUCGGUGCCGGAGAGAAGUUGUUAAGUCUGCUACUUGGGGAGUACGUCCGCAAGGAUGAAACUUAAAGGAAUUGGCGGGGGAGCACCGCAACGGGAGGAGCGUGCGGUUUAAUUGGAUUCAACGCCGAAAAACUCACCAGCAGCGACUGUUACAUGAAAGUCAGGUUGAUGACCUUACUAGAUUUUCAGAGAGGUGGUGCAUGGCGUCAGUGACU